rnacentral:rRNA from 1 species
AACGGGUGAGUAAUAUAUCGGAACGUGCCCAGUAGUGGGGGAUAGCCCGGCGAAAGCCGGAUUAAUACCGCAUACGACCUAAGGGUGAAAGGGGGGGAUUCGCAAGAACCUCUCGCUAUUGGAGCGGCCGAUAUCAGAUUAGGUAGUUGGUGGGGUAAAAGCCUACCAAGCUUGCGAUCUGUAGUUGGUCUGAGAGGACGACCAGCCACACUGGGACUGAGACACGGCCCAGACUCCUACGGGAGGCAGCAGUGGGGAAUUUUGGACAAUGGGCGCAAGCCUGAUCCAGCAAUGCCGCGUGCAGGAAGAAGGCCUUCGGGUUGUAAACUGCUUUUGUCAGGGAAGAAAUCCUCUGGGUUAAUACCUCGGGGGGAUGACGGUACCUGAAGAAUAAGCACCGGCUAACUACGUGCCAGCAGCCGCGGUAAUA